UUUAUUUAUUUAUAUAUUUUAUUAUUUCGUGAAAUGCUCUGUACUGAUUUUCUUUUAUAACUUCACUUAAUUUAUAUAAAUUGAGUAUUAAUGCUGCAAUUCUUAAGAAUAAUUUUAAAUUUAAUAAGUUAAAAAUAAAAGAUUCAAAUCAUUUGUGAUAUAUAUUAAAUACUAAAUAAAAUUAAUAUUAUAAAGAAUCAUGUGAAAAGGAAAAACCAGCAAUACAUACUUAAAUCCAUAGUAAAUAAUUUAUUAUAUUCCUUCCAGCUAAUACAUAUAUCUCAUUACAUAUUAUUUAUCUUGUAUGGUGAUGCAGCUCCUAAUUACGAACCACUUCAAAUUUGGAUUCCAAGUUGGAAAUUUUCAUGUUGCUCCCUAUUUGGAAAACCCUACGACGAAAGUCAAAUUCGUAAUCUUUGCCGUCAACCAACUUUCAGAAAAACACACAAAAAAGAAAAUAAGUUAAUAUUAUACAAAUAAAAAUAUAAAAAUAUAAAUUAUUUUUUUAUUCAAUAAAUAACAUAAAUACUUACAGAUGUAGCUCUCCAGAUUCCACUAAAAAUGAAAUCUUGGGGUUCAAAUCCUUUGCAAUUAAAAUGCAUAAGCGUAGUAUAAUUUUCAUUAUUAUUUUCAAUCGGCUGACCAUGUCCAGUAAUAACAGAUACUGAUCCUUGAUUUCUACAAUCUUUGCACUAAAUAAUAUAUUCUAAUCAGUUAAAAUAACAUAUCAAUUAAAACUUAGUGAUGUAUUUUAAACGUUCUACACUACACUCAAAUUUAAAAGAUAUUGCUAUAAUUUCAAUGAAUUUAUUUUAAUAAUUUUAUAUCAACUUAAACAUAUUUAACAAUUUAGAAAAAAAAAUAUAUAUAUAUAUUCUUCUCAUAUCUUCUCUCUUUAAAUACUAUACAUAGAUUUUAAAGAAUACACCACAUUAUUGAGACCUCCUCUACAAGCUUAAACUUGUAGAUUUAGUAAUUUUUUAUUCUGGAUAUAAGAACUUCUCAAGCAAGUGGUCCUAAAGUUCAAAUCUUGGGUACUCUCACUCUAAUGAAAUGUCAGUACAAUAGUAGUGGUGGGUCUAUACUUUGAGUGUCCAAACACAAUGAACAUUUGAAUGAGAGGACACACACACAGUAAAACCUAAUCUUCACCCUCACCUACAAAAUGAGCUUUUAACAACAGCAUCAUUAGAAAAUCUUGGCACAUCCCAUUUAUUAGUAUAUUCAUGACACAAAGUCAAAGAACAUAUUACAUCUGCUCAAUUCUGCCUUCUCCUGUCAUAUCUUGUCCAACAUAAAGAAUUGAUUGGAGGAACAACUUUUGGCUAUAAUUUCAAUUAAUUGCAUUUACUUUAUAUGGUACACAAACCGACACAGAUUCUUAAGUAAAAACAACAUACUUCUCCGACUGCAAUGGUGAUGAUAUGAGGAGUAAAGCCCAUCCCAGCCGAACCAGACAGCCACUCACCAAGGGAAGCUAAUUGUUGC
rnacentral:misc_RNA from 1 species